AGUCGAACGGUGAAAGCGGAGCUUGCUCUGCUGGAUCAGUGGCGAACGGGUGAGUAACACGUGAGCAAUCUGCCCCUGACUCUGGGAUAAGCGCUGGAAACGGCGUCUAAUACCGGAUACGAGCUGCGAAGGCAUCUUCAGCAGCUGGAAAGAAUUUCGGUCAGGGAUGAGCUCGCGGCCUAUCAGCUUGUUGGUGAGGUAACGGCUCACCAAGGCGUCGACGGGUAGCCGGCCUGAGAGGGUGACCGGCCACACUGGGACUGAGACACGGCCCAGACUCCUACGGGAGGCAGCAGUGGGGAAUAUUGCACAAUGGGCGAAAGCCUGAUGCAGCAACGCCGCGUGAGGGACGACGGCCUUCGGGUUGUAAACCUCUUUUAGCAGGGAAGAAGCGAAAGUGACGGUACCUGCAGAAAAAGCGCCGGCUAACUACGUGCCAGCAGCCGCGGUAAUACGUAGGGCGCAAGCGUUAUCCGGAAUUAUUGGGCGUAAAGAGCUCGUAGGCGGUUUGUCGCGUCUGCUGUGAAAACCCGAGGCUCAACCUCGGGCCUGCAGUGGGUACGGGCAGACUAGAGUGCGGUAGGGGAGAUUGGAAUUCCUGGUGUAGCGGUGGAAUGCGCAGAUAUCAGGAGGAACACCGAUGGCGAAGGCAGAUCUCUGGGCCGUAACUGACGCUGAGGAGCGAAAGGGUGGGGAGCAAACAGGCUUAGAUACCCUGGUAGUCCACCCCGUAAACGUUGGGAACUAGUUGUGGGGACCAUUCCACGGUUUCCGUGACGCAGCUAACGCAUUAAGUUCCCCGCCUGGGGAGUACGGCC
rnacentral:rRNA from 1 species